GCUCUCGUAGUUCAACGGAUAGAACAGAGGUUUCCUAAACCUCUAAUGGAGGUUCAAUUCCUCCCGAGGGCA
rnacentral:tRNA from 1 species